rnacentral:tRNA from 1 species
AACACUGUAGCUCACCCGGUAGAGUAUCUGCCUCGUAGGCGGAAGCUUGCCGGUUCGGAUCUGGUUCGCUAUGUUA